GUUCUGUAUAAAUAUUGGUAUAUCAAUAUCCUAAUGCAGUGAGUAUAAAUCUGCACUGAGCACAACUAUGCAUGCCUCUAGUGGGCUAGGGCUUCAUCUCAUCAAUGAGAUGAAGUGAUGAUGGUGUCUAGUGUCCCUAAAAUUUUGUUAAAAAUCUAUAAUUUGCUAAAUAGGUGGUUGGUACGUGUUAUAGAAAGGUUUGGUUUGAGGUUACCUAAUGUGGCAAUGUUACCCUUUAGGAGUGUGCUUACAUUAACAGUUAUGGUGAAUAAGUGUCUGCACCCAAAGCCCUCACCGACUCUUGC